rnacentral:rRNA from 2 species
CAUACAAGCAGUGGGAGCACCUUCGUGGUGUGACUGCGUACCUUUUGUAUAAUGGGUCAGCGACUUACAUUCAGUAGCAAGGUUAACCGAAUAGGGGAGCCGUAGAGAAAUCGAGUCUUAAUAGGGCGUUUAGUUGCUGGGUGUAGACCCGAAACCAGGCGAUCUAUCCAUGAGCAGGUUGAAGGUUGGGUAACACUAACUGGAGGACCGAACCCACUGUCGUUGAAAAGCCAGGGGAUGACUUGUGGAUAGGGGUGAAAGGCUAAUCAAGCCUGGUGAUAGCUGGUUCUCCCCGAAAGCUAUUUAGGUAGCGCCUCGGACGAAUACCAUUGGGGGUAGAGCACUGUUUCGGCUAGGGGGUCAUCCCGACUUACCAAACC